GGGGAUAUAGCUCAGUUGGUAGAGUGCUUGCUCUGCACGCACAAGGCCCUGGGUUCAAACCCCAGCACCA
rnacentral:tRNA from 1 species